AACGCACAUUGCGCCCUCUGGUAUUCCGGGGGGCAUGCCUGUUCGAGCGUCAUUAUCGCCUCUCAAGCUCUGCUUGGUAUUGGAGGUCGCCUCUUCCCCCCGGGGAAGGAGCGCCCCCGAAAGGUAGCGGCGAUGCGGCCGAGCUCCAUAGCGCAGUGACUUAUUUCUCGCUAUCUUGGAACCGUGCCCGCUUCGGCCGGACAACAAACACUAUUUUCUAGUAGUUGACCUCGGAUCAGGUAGGGAUACCCGCUGAACUUAA
rnacentral:misc_RNA from 1 species